GUGACCACCGGUCAAUAAUAUAGUCCUCUUGUUCCUUUUCGGGGUAGCCAGCACAGCCUAUAGAUUUUUUGGACGCAUGGUCUGUAGGACGCGGACGAGGAGAGAAGAAGAAGAUUUUUAUGAACAAAAUGGCUGUUGGAUUGGAUGGACAUGUGAAAUGAAAUGGGUGCGAUGGGAGUAAAGGAAAGCAAUUAUAAUCGAAAAGAUAGAGUGAGAAAAGUCGAGGAGACAGUGUCUGGAAUAGAGUGGAUACACUUGAAAAUUUAUUAUUGUGUCCCUUUGGAUGGACGACAACCUACAAGCUACGACCAGAGAGAGCAGGAAUAAGAGUGGAAAAAACAAGUCCUCUUCUUCAACCAAAAACUUGUUCGAAGGGACAUUUGAAAGCAAAGCAGUGUAGCCCAUUUGUUAUUACCCUGCUCUUGGACUUACCCUUUCCAGCAUCACCACCGUGAUUGACGCUUUAAAUAAUCAGAGAGAGAGAGAUGUUGACACACACACACACACAGCUCACAUUUUAUCCAAACAAUAAAAGUGGAGGAGGGGGGAUGAGAACGUCGUCAUGUCUUGGCUCAAAAUUUCCGUUUCCGUCAACAUUCAAUAUCAUUUUAUGGAGAUGGUUGACACGAGGAGGGGGUGACCUUUUUCCUCACAAUUUCUGCUCUCUUAAAUUGAUUGAUGGACGUGGAUCACUUCCGCAUAGGAAACAUAUCGAGGAUCGUUUAGUCCCCCCUCCUCAUCGUCUCCGACUCUUCUUCUUCAUCUCCACCACCACCACUUUGAAUAAUAUGCUUAUCGAGGGAAUAUUUAUUAUUGGCAACAUUGCAGUCGUCCUACAAAUAAUGACGACGACAAACGUUCACAGCAAUAAUGCUGCAUGAAGGCGUACGCAUAAUAAUGGUGAUAAAAGUAGUCGAGGUAAUAAAUGAUGUGAUUUUUUGAGCACCUGUGUCCCUUUAUGUAUCAUCAGAGUGGUGGUGGAAGGUGUCUUGACGUGGAUAUUUUUAGAAUAAGAGUGUGAAAAUGAUCUUUUACAGAGUUUAGUUUAGUUUUUUUUCUUUAUAUUAACUAAAUGGAGUGAGUUUAUAGGAACAUAUACAUAAAUGACGAAGAAGUGAGUGGUGUGGGUAAUGGUGGGGAUGGGUUGGCUGUGGGGUUAUUGUUAUCUGUGUUGAUAUGCCAAGUCACGAUAUGCUUCUUUAAAUUUUUUGAAUGAAAAUAAAAACAAUAAAUUCAUUUUCAAUUAGACACACGGUUAAAAUUCGUGAUUUGUUCCAAACAGGAUUUGUUUCAACAUCUGCUCUGAAAAUUCCCUUGUUCUCUUUCUCUGAGAAUAACUACUUUUAUAUUCUUUGUCUCCAUCCUAUCCAUCUCUAUCCAUCUAUCCAUUUCUCUUGGCUGAGGUGGUGGUGGUGGAUGGUGUGGGAUAUGACGAAUACAAUUUAUUCAUGAAUUCCUCAACAAAACUUUUUUGAUUCUUGAUUCAGGAUGAGACUGCUUCUAUUACUAAAAGAUAAAUGAGUUUGCUCCCCGAUUUUGAUCACUUUGGAUUGGCUGCGAGAUCAUUAGAGUUCAUUAAACGGAGUGAACGAUAUUAAGUGAGAAGCUUGAAUUAUUAGACUAUUCAAAUGUCACACGGUGAAUAAUAAAGAUAUUUCAUUUCUCUCUGCA